rnacentral:rRNA from 1 species
AGAGUUUGAUCCUGGCUCAGGACGAACGCUGGCGGCGUGCCUAACACAUGCAAGUCGAGCGAUGAAACCCUUCGGGGUGGAUUAGCGGCGGACGGGUGAGUAACACGUGGGUAACCUGCCUCAAAGAGGGGGAUAGCCUCCCGAAAGGGAGAUUAAUACCGCAUAACAUUAGUUUUUCGCAUGAAGAACUAAUUAAAGGAGUAAUCCGCUUUGAGAUGGACCCGCGGCGCAUUAGCUAGUUGGUGAGGUAAUAGCUCACCAAGGCGACGAUGCGUAGCCGACCUGAGAGGGUGAUCGGCCACAUUGGAACUGAGACACGGUCCAGACUCCUACGGGAGGCAGCAGUGGGGAAUAUUGCACAAUGGGCGAAAGCCUGAUGCAGCAACGCCGCGUGAGUGAUGAAGGCCUUCGGGUUGUAAAGCUCUGUCUUUUGGGACGAUAAUGACGGUACCAAAGGAGGAAGCCACGGCUAACUACGUGCCAGCAGCCGCGGUAAUACGUAGGUGGCGAGCGUUGUCCGGAUUUACUGAGCGUAAAGGAUGCGUAGGCGGAUAUUUAAGUGAGAUGUGAAAUACCCGAGCUUAACUUGGGUGCUGCAUUUCAAACUGGAUAUCUAGAGUGCGGGAGAGGAGAAUGGAAUUCCUAGUGUAGCGGUGAAAUGCGUAGAGAUUAGGAAGAACACCAGUGGCGAAGGCGAUUCUCUGGACCGUAACUGACGCUGAGGCAUGAAAGCGUGGGUAGCAAACAGGAUUAGAUACCCUGGUAGUCCACGCCGUAAACGAUGAGUACUAGGUGUAGGA